UACGGGGGGGGCAAGCGUUGUUCGGAAUUACUGGGCGUAAAGGGCUCGCAGGUGGCCAACUAAGUCGGACGUGAAAUCCCUCAGCUUAACUGGGGAACUGCGUCCGAUACUGGAUGGCUUGAGUUUGGGAGAGGGAUGCGGAAUUCCAGGUGUAGCGGUGAAAUGCGUAGAUAUCUGGAGGAACACCGGUGGCGAAGGCGGCAUCCUGGACCAACACUGACACUGAGGAGCGAAAGCCAGGGGAGCAAACGGG
rnacentral:rRNA from 1 species